rnacentral:rRNA from 1 species
CAAUAGCGUAUAUUAAAGUUGUUGCAGUUAAAAAGCUCGUAGUGGGAUUUCUGGUGGGAGCGAUCGGUCUGGCGCUUAGCGCGAGUACUUGCAUCGUCUCCGGCCAUCCUUGGGGAAAGUCUGUCUGGCAUUAAGUUGUCGGGCAGAGGAUCCUCAUCGUUUACUGUGAAAAAAUUAGAGUGUUCAAAGCAGGCUUAUGCCGUUGAAUAUAUUAGCAUGGAAUAAUAAGAUAGGACUUUGGUACUAUUUUGUUGGUUUGCGCACCAAAGUAAUGAUUAAUAGGGACAGUUGGGGGUAUUCGUAUUCCGUUGUCAGAGGUGAAAUUCUUGGAUUUACGGAAGACGAACUACUGCGAAAGCAUUUACCAAGGAUGUUUUCAUUAA